UGCCCAGUAAUUCCUAUCCCUACUUUCUCUUGGUACUGGUUGGGGUACGAGCAAUUUUAGGGAAGAUCGGGUAACCAAUCCCGAUGUGAACUUUAGUCGUAUGCUGACAGGGAAGG
rnacentral:ribozyme from 1 species